AGAACGAACGCUGGCGGCAUGCCUAAUACAUGCAAGUCGAACGAACACUUCGGUGUUAGUGGCGCACGGGUGCGUAACGCGUGGGAAUCUGCCCUUGGGUUCGGAAUAACAGUUGGAAACGACUGCUAAUACCGGAUGAUAUCGAAAGAUCAAAGAUUUAUCGCCCAGGGAUGAGCCCGCGUAGGAUUAGCUAGUUGGUGAGGUAAAGGCUCACCAAGGCGACGAUCCUUAGCUGGUCUGAGAGGAUGAUCAGCCACACUGGGACUGAGACACGGCCCAGACUCCUACGGGAGCAGCAGUAGGGAAUAUUGGACAAUGGG
rnacentral:rRNA from 1 species